UUUCCGUAGGUGAACCUGCGGAAGGAUCAUUAUUGAAAAAGACAAGACGCCCCGUUUUUUCGUAAAAUGGGUUCAAUACCCACAACCGUGUAUACCUUACCUUUUGUUGCUUUGGCAGGCCGCCUCCGGGCGUUGGCUUCGGCUGACAGCGCCUGCCAGAGGACCCAAACUCUGUGUUUAGUGAUGUCUGAGUAAUAUAUAAUAGUUAAAACUUUCAACAACGGAUCUCUUGGUUCUG
rnacentral:misc_RNA from 1 species